CGGGAUGUAGCGCAGUCUGGUAGCGUACCACGUUCGGGACGUGGGGGUCGAAGGUUCAAAUCCUUUCAUCCCGA
rnacentral:tRNA from 1 species